UAUAAUUAUAUAGUAUAGUGAUUAGUGUAGUCGUAUGAACGUUCCAGUCGGAUGUUACAUAGGCGCGACGGCGCGGGGCGCGGAUGAGUGAUAACCAAUUAAAAUGCCUGGAAUAUAGUGUUCACUAGAUUUAAUGUAUUUUGAUCAGUUUCCGCGUAACCGCGCUUAUAUGUAAACCCGCCGAACUGAAAUAUAAAAAACCAGGUCUGAAAAACCCACCGUUAGAUGUCAUUCCAAGGUAGCGUUCCGAAAUUAGCUGGCAGCGAUAUAAACUCCCUAGAACAGAGGCAGAGCACUUACGAACUCGGCAACGCAAUGGGUGCUUCCAUUUACAUGACUUUUGUGUCGACUUGUGUCAACUCGUGUCGACUCUCGAAAACGAAUGAAUGGAACAUUACACAUUUGCGCGAGAGUUGAUGCGCCCGACACAGUAAGGUUAGAAUGUGAAAAGAAUGGUGUCAACAAAUUUAAGCUUUGCGAUGAGUAAAUAAAAAUGUAAAAAUGGAAGAGGCUCUAUGAGCUAUCCUGAUGAAUGAAUCCAGUAGUAGUAGCAGCAGCAGCAGUUCAGAUUCUUCAAGCGAUGAUGGUUUCAACCCGCUAUUAGAAGAAGAUGACUACGAAAAUGAUCUUUUAUUCCCCUUCUCCACUUUCUAAUGGACGGACGUGAACGACAGCGUGUGCGAAAUUUUCUCAAAACAGUUCAUGCUAAAAGCAACGAGGAGUUUAAGGAAGAUUUCAGAUUUGAGUGGCCAAUUGUUAACAUAUUAUUAGAAAGUUUGGAAAAUAGUGGAUUCAUUCCAACCCAUACCUUUGGAAAGGCAAAGAAACCUGCUGAAUUGUGUUUAUUAAUGACACUUUGGUUUCUCGGGAACGAGAAGUCACAUA